UCCCGGCCCCGCCCCGCCCCCCCCCGCCCGGCGCGGCGCGGCGCGGCGCCGUGGGGCCGGGCAGCAAGGGCCGGCCCCCGAGGAGGAGCUCGGCCGCUGGGCUGCGCUUGCAGGGGAUCCGUCAGAAAGGGCAAAGCAGAAACGGCCCCGGGCCGGCAGCAACGAUUAAAGACGGCAAGAAGCCCUUCUUUAGGUGCGCAGGGAGCGGACAGCAGGCGCGUGGUGACACAGGACAGGCUAGGGCAACUGGUAAGGGACAGGAGGGCCAGAGCUGAGCUCCUGCACGAGUUCUUUGCGUCUGCAUUCCUGAACACGGAUAAAGACACACCUCCCACGGCGCUAAAGACGGGCACGAGAGGGUCCAGCCCGCCACCAGUGAGCCCUGACCUAGCGAGGGGGCAUCUGGAGGGCUGGACGUGUCUGUGUGCAGGCCUAGACGAUCCUCAUCCGAGAGUGCUGAAGGACUUGGCCAGCGUGAGACCAGAGCCGCUGGUGCGAUGGUUGGAGCGCUCGUGGUGCUCAGCUGAGGUCCCAGAGGACUGGGAAAGGGCCAGUGUGCUCCCUGUUUUCAGGAAGGGGAGAAAGGAAGGUCUGGGCAAGUACAGGCUGGACAGUCAUAGACUUCAUGGGAAUUUUUCCAGCCCAGUCACCUAAGUGACCAGGUGAAAGAGGAGGGGUGUGUGGACUGAACCAAGGAGGGAGAUACAGAGGGGGAUUUCUUCACAUGGGGGGCUGUGUGUAUGUGUGUGCAAUGAGGGAGUGUGUGUGUGCCUGUGUGCGCACGUAAUGAGGGAGGGAUGGGGGUGUGUGGCUGGGGAGGGUUGUGUGUGGAGAGGGAGGGUGGCUGCAGUGUGUGAGAGGGUGUGGGUGUGGGGGUCUGCAUGUGCGUGUGUGUUCGUAAGGUGAGUCUCACAUGCACACCUUGCCACAUACAGGCACCCCCUUGCACUGCCAUACAUGUAGACACCCACACCCUCUCACACACCUCAGCACCCUCCCAGUCCACACACACCAUGACCCUCUACACCCGCCCUCCCCAUACCUACCCACACCCAGAUAUCUACAUAACCCACCUAUCCAUCGCCCCACAAAAUCACCCCACCCACCCACAUCCUCCCCACACCCCAAAGCCCCCCACAAAUCUAUACCCACCCUCAAUUUCCCCCACCAGCCACACAGUAUAGAAGAGUAAGACUUCAUUUUAAGCUAUUCUGCAACCACCUCUAUGAACACUAGACAAACACACAUCUAAAUCAAGACAAAAUGAUCUGCUCAGGUUCCUUCCGAUCCUACUAACUAUGAAACUAUGAAAAAUAUGUUUUUGAAAUGAAAUUAAUGAAUCUUGUAAAUGUUCAAUUUUUUAAAUAUAAUUUGGUAUUUUUCUGGUCCCAAGACGGCAAACACCCUUGCUGAAAGGAGUGCUUCCGUGGGCAAGGGGAGGGAUUUCUGGUGGCAAAGGUCAGGGGUUAGGGCACGGGACUUCUGGGCGCAAAAUGGCGAGCAGAAUGCAGGGCACCUGUCGGGGUGGGGCUUGUCAACACCUUGUCUAAACUCAGCAGCUCUCCAGAUGAAAUAAUUGCCUGCCCCCUGUUACAUUGUGGGACUUGAUUAGCAAAGAAUCCAUUAUAGAGAAUGUGAUGAAAGGAUUGUGGGGGGGGGGACAGCUGGCACGAGGUGGUACGCAGUUGGGACAAGCGGCUGAGAAGCAAAACUUGCUAAACUGGGCUCAUGGUGUGGCAGUAUCAGCUUCUUGCAGAGCCCAGUGGGCAUGUGCAGGCCUGGGAGUGGUGUCAUGUGGUGGGGAAGAAGGGUAAGGUCAGGGUGGAAGGCAGGGAGCACCUCCCCAGCAAUCAAUGCCCUCCUUCCUGCAACUCUAGAGCUUCACAUACAAGAACCCUGGGACCAAGAGGGAGGACAAAGCCUGGAGUCACCCAAAGACAGUCCCGGGGUGUCAUUUAGAGCCAGUUGCAUAACGGGGUGCACCAUAUUGUGCAGGCACUUCUGCUCCUAGGAGCACUGCCUGCUUUUCCAGAAUGAUGGGGAUGGCACAGCUCCACGGCUGAUUUAAAGACCAUCUCUUGGGACAAGUGGGCAGAAAACAACAGGAUGCAGUUCAACAAGGAGAAAUGCAAAGUGCUGCACCUAGGGAGAAAUGUCCAGCACACCUACAGCCUAGGGAAUGACCUGCUGGGUGGCACAGAGAUGGAAAGGGAUCUUGGAGUCCUAGUGGACUCCAAGAUGAACAUGAGCUGGCAGUGUGACGAAGCCAUCAGCAAAGCCAAAGGCACUUUAUCGUGCAUCAGCAGAUGCAUGACGAAUAGGUCCAGGGAGGUGAUACUUCCCCUCUAUCGGGCGCUGGUCAGACCGCAGUUGGAGUACUGCGUGCAAUUCUGGGCACCACACUUCAAGAGGGAUGCGGAUAACCUGGAGAGGGUCCAGAGAAGGGCAACUCGUAUGGUCAAGGGCUUGCAGACCAAGCCCUACGAGGAGAGACUAGAGAAACUGGACCUUUUCAGCCUCCGCAAGAGAAGGUUGAGAGGUGAUCUUGUGGCUGCCUAUAAGUUCAUCACGGGGGCACAGAAGGGAAUUGGUGAGUAUUUAUUCAAGGUGCCCCCGGGGGUUACAAGAAACAAUGGCCACAAGCUAGCAGAGAGCAGAUUCAGACUGGACAUUAGGAAGAACUUCUUCACAGUUCGAGUGGCCAAGGUCUGGAACGGGCUCCCAAGGGAGGUGGUGCUCUCCCCUACCCUGGGGGUCUUCAAGAGGAGGUUAGAUGAGUAUCUAGCUGGGGUCGUCUAGACCCAGCACUCUUUCCUGCCGAUGCAGGGGGUCGGACUCGAUGAUCUAUUGAGGUCCCUUCCGACCAGUGACCGGACAAGGAAGACGGCAUGAGAACUGCAUCCGAGAGACCAACUGGCGGCUUUGGCAGUGGUGUCUCGAGGCAGGCUUCGGCUUCCUGGACCAUGACCCGCACAUCACGACGAGGGACAUGCUCAUCUGGGAUGGGCUUCACCUGUCCCCCAAAGUUUGACGUGAGUAGAUGAACUUCAUAUGCCCUGCGUACGUGUGUCUCUGUGAGAGGGUGAACGGUGAAAGAAUGGUAACUAUUUGCAUGAAAACAAAAGAAGAUUUAACUGAUUGUGUAAGCAACAAGGCACCAAUGUAUAAGUGACCAGACAGUACAUAAAUUAAGCUAAUUAAUGGAUGGCUGAAGAGCUCGUCUGUAAUCAGGUGCAAAGAAGAUAGUAAGAAGAAAGAAUUUUGCAUAUCCUGCCAUUUGAACUACACAAUACUUUAAGACAAAGAUACCACCUACACAAUGCUUCAAGGCAAAAAUCAAGACUGAAAUAUCAACUCGGAGAUAACCAACUUUACUGGAAUGACUGAGCAUGGAAAAACCCCAAGGCUGAACAAAGACUUGAAAUCCCUAUAAAAGUGAGAUGCAGACAAACCAAGAUGGGGAAUCCGCUCCCUGCAACCUCAUGGAGCAGAGGCAUGCACGUCUGUUCUUCCCUCGCUUCUGUCACCCUCAACAAGCCUGGACCCAGCCACACAUUGCUAAUAUUGAGUGACUUCUGCUGGUAACUAUAACAUCUUACUGGAGUGGUUUGGUCUGUAUGUGCGACUGUGUCUCUUUGUACAUAUGCUGGUGUAUGUCUGUUUCUAUAACUGGAGUGUCCAAGUUUAUGUAAUUGCUUCAUGUAAUUGAUAAAUCUGGCAUUUUUGCCUUAUCACCCUUUAUAA